rnacentral:tRNA from 1 species
GCGUUUUUAGUUUAAAUUAAGGAUAAAACAUCAAUCUUCUAAAUUGGAUACUGAAGGUUCGAAUCCCUCAAAACGCA